rnacentral:rRNA from 1 species
GACGAACGCUGGCGGCGUGCCCAAUACAUGCAAGUAGAACGCUGAAGAGAGGAGCUUGCUCUUCUUGGAUGAGUUGCGAACGGGUGAGUAACGCGUAGGUAACCUGCCUUGUAGCGGGGGAUAACUAUUGGAAACGAUAGCUAAUACCGCAUAACAAUGGAUGACACAUGUCAUUUAUUUGAAAGGGGCAAUUGCUCCACUACAAGAUGGACCUGCGUUGUAUUAGCUAGUAGGUGAGGUAAUGGCUCACCUAGGCGACGAUACAUAGCCGACCUGAGAGGGUGAUCGGCCACACUGGGACUGAGACACGGCCCAGACUCCUACGGGAGGCAGCAGUAGGGAAUCUUCGGCAAUGGGGGCAACCCUGACCGAGCAACGCCGCGUGAGUGAAGAAGGUUUUCGGAUCGUAAAGCUCUGUUGUAAGUCAAGAACGGGUGUGAGAGUGGAAAGUUCACACUGUGACGGUAGCUGACCAGAAAGGGACGGCUAACUACGUG